AUUAUUUUAAGUAGUUUGAAUAACCCAGCAUGAUUUUCAAAGGCUGAGAAACUCUGAACCAUUGUGAGGUCAUAACUUCAGCUCCACCUCGGAUGAUCAGUCUUGGUGAGCAGACAGUUAACUCAAAUGAUGGGGUAGCCUCAGUUCCUAAGACGCGGGCAAGGAAGUAACGGCAAUGGAUAUGGAUGCUUUGAGGGCAGUAUUACACUUGACCCAUCCACAGGAUGUUCAGAGCAGUGCCUGUCACAAGUCCAGCUUUCUCAUGGACCCUGCUGCUGAAGCUGGACCCCUCCACUGUCUUUCCCUAUGAAGACAGGGACCAGCACUUACCACCACCACCUACGAGCCACCAGCUGCUCCUUCCUGAGAAGAUGGAACAGACUCAAAAAUUAACUAACUUGUCCAAUCUCAUACAGCCAGAAAAGUGCAGAGCAGGAAGUAAAAUCCAUGAAGUCCAACUAGAAGCCAGUUCAGCCGACUCCCGCAGAGUCCCCUUGCCACCCUGCCUAUACUGCCGGCCUUCUUCUGAUUAUGCUUGGAUUAGAUGUCCCUACAGGCAUCGUUGUUAACAACCGGAUAAUUCUCCCUGGCUUAUAUUUCUAGGCUGUCAUUUUCCAAGAGGCUUUUAGACAUGAAAGCUAAUGGGAUUACCCCAUCCAUCUAUUGUUCUGAGCCAAGCCUUCUCACCUAAGCAAGCACUUUUCUGGUGGAUGUUGAAUCUCUUUCUUCCUAUAUUUGAAUUCCUUCAAAUUGGCUGGGCUUCUGGUAAGCAUGACAACACUAGCAACCUGAUGUCGGGGAGGGCUGCUGGAAGCCACCUUGGAUAAUGGUGAAGAAGGUGAAACCACGUGUCCACCUCCACACUAGCCUCUGAGCUUGAGAUGUUCACCAGAAGCCUCACUGUUCAACCUUGCCUCUUAAUUUGUGAAAUAAUACAUGCACACAGAUCCACUCAGCCUUACACACCCCUGCUCUGCCACUCAGUACAGACAUGCUGCCUGAAGUUCCUGACUUCCUUGGCACCUUUCCAUAGUGGUACCUUUCCAUCCUUCCUGGUUAAGCAAAUUUGGGAAAGAAUCAUCUCAGUUGCCAGUCUGGUUUAUAAUUAUCCCAACAGGCCUCACUUUCCAUUUAUGAACUUGGCAAAAGAAAUCACCAAGGAAAAACCUGCCCUACUAAUGACUCAGCUGACGUCACUCAUCAUUGCCUUACUGCUUUAAACACAUUCACCUGAUAAGCCUAUGGUGACUAAUAAAUUCAAAGAACUUAUACCCAUUCUCUUUCUGUUGGGACUAGUUAUUUAUCAUUGCUCCUAAGUAUUUGAAAUCUGCUUUCUUUGUUGAAGUGCUCAUUUAGCUGUCCUACUCCCAGGAUGGAAGAUUUUCAGCAUUCAGAUUGAGGGUUCAAUGAAUUUCACUUGCCUUAGGGUCAAUAUU
ensembl:lncRNA